CCUCGCCAUUAAUGUCACCUUUCCUGCCCCCUUCCCCUUCGUCCCCUCAAGAGACGGUGCCCAAGCCUUUCCACGACACAAGACAGAUGGCUAGACGGACAGAUGGCCCCUUCACCCAAGCAAGCAGAAACAGACAAGGCCCGGCCAGAGAUGAGGAUGUGGGGACAGAUGGAGCUGUGACAACGAGGGGCCCUGCUCCCUGAGCCUCCAUCACCAUGCCUGGGAGGAGAGGAGCCAGGUCCCAGGAAUACGAAACCUGACACACAGGAGGUUAGUUUCCGUGACCCAGGAGGGAGCAACAGUGAAGCUGGGGGUGAUGUAAACACACCUGUGACGAUGACGAAGGCAGAGCAAUUAACGACACCUGGCAGAAGGAGCCGGCCAAGGUGCCGGACACAGGGGCAGGGCGCACGACCCUCAGAAACCCAACUGGCUGGUAUCACACACCCCGCCUUGGAGCAGACUGGGACUGGAGCCAAAGAAGAGGAAGGGAAGAGGAGGAAGCUGAGAGUUUCCUCUAGCACGAUGGAAAGGCGCAGGCAGGGCUGCCUUUAAAUCCUUGGGUGCCUCUGGACAGCCCUGCCAAGCAGCAGGGCAGCAAACCUGUGCCAGCCUGCAAUGUGAAGCUCUGAAGCUUUGGCAUCUCUGCUGGGCUCUGAGCCAGGUGCCUGGCAGGGCCCCAAGAACUACUUUCAGCAAAUCUUCGGGCAACACCGAAGGUGGUGAGAAGCAGGAGGCAGAGUGAGAAGGCAGGAAUGGAGAGGCCCCUGGAGGCGCCAGCUCAACAGGAAGGUUCACGAGCUCAGGAGGACUUGGGGGAGUGCUGCAGGAUGGUGGAAGAGAUGGAGAAAGAAGAUGGAACGGGGAAGAACGGCUCCUCCAUCGGCAGGGCUGCGGACCGGCUCCAGAGUGCUUCCCCAGCCUUCCGGAGUCUAAUGAAGACUCGGUUGCAGCGGAAGCCGUUUCUUUUGGCCUUGCCCACCAUGCCUGCCAUCCAGCCUCCAUCUGUGCCCCGAGUGGGAGGGGCUCUCUGGCUCUAAGACGGCUCCCACCAGCCAUUUUCUUCUCCAAAGAAAGCCUUUUCAGUUCCUUCA